rnacentral:rRNA from 1 species
UACGUAGGGUGCGAGCGUUAAUCGGAAUUACUGGGCGUAAAGCGUGCGCAGGCGGUUUUGUAAGCCAGAUGUGAAAUCCCCGGGCUUAACCUGGGAAUGGCAUUUGGGACUGCAAGGCUUGAGUGUGGCAGAGGAGACUGGAAUUCCUGGUGUAGCAGUGAAAUGCGUAGAUAUCAGGAGGAACACCGAUGGCGAAGGCAGGUCUCUGGGCUGAAACACUGACGCUCAUGCACCGAAA